AGAAGAAGCCUGUGGUCGUGGCCUGGCGGGUUUGGUGCUACCGGCGGAGGCGACUCCGACGACGGCGAAAGUCGGUGGCGCUAUUACCACCGGAAUAAACAAAGAGGAGAGGGGAGAGGUCCGAGAGGAAGGUUACCAGCAUUUCUCUAGUUUUUGCCCCUGUUUAUCUGGUCUAAGAGCCUUUUGUUUUCUCCGAGACAUUGGAAAGAUUGAAUAAGAAAAUCAAUUAAAAAAGAGUUUUUUAUUCGUUCAUUGGCAUUGUGAUUUGGAUUAUUCGGAGUUUCUUCGGACAGUUCUCCCGGUGGUUGAAUCUUCCCGUAAUUCGAUCUGAGAUUGAUUUGUUUUGUUGCGUUCUUCGGCGACAUUGCAACGUGCGAGUUUUUGUUUUCACUUUCGCGCAUUGGAUCUGAAAAUCCUUCAAGAUCUCGGGAAAAAAUUUGACUAAUCGUCUCACAUCCGGUACGUGAAUCUCUCUGUGUUUUGAUCAUUCUUCGCGUUUUGCUUCUGUUCUUUUCGUUUGAAUUGCGUUUGGUUCUAGAGAAAAAUGAGGUAAAGACGAAGAAAAGAAAGAAGUUUUUGAAGGUUUCUUUGUGUUCUGUGGUUAUAGUUUGCGAGAAUGGAAACUACUAGUGCCUCAAUUAAAAUUCGAAGUCUUAUAGGCUUAAGAGAAUGUGGAUUGUUGAAGUUUCUCUCUGAUAUAAGUUAUAACAUCUUCACAGAUAUUCGCAUUAUGUGCAUUUUAUCACUGUUUCUGUUCUUUUCCCCUACAUAAUCAUAAAUUAUAAAUCAAAAAGUUCGGAAUUUGACAGAAAUGCUCAGUUUUUCAUCAUCAUUGGCAGACAAAAACAGAGAAGGACCUUUUUGUUUUUUUCGUUUUCAAUUCUCACAAGAGCAUCGCCGAAAUUCUUAGAGAUGAAGCCUUGAUAUGUCGGUAAGGGAAGAUGAGAACUGGCUAGUAUCAUUACUUUGUAAACUAAAUAAAUGGAAUAUGAAUUCAGAUUUCUCUAAAUUAGAUCUCAAACCUAUGGUGGUUAUAUGAAUUCAGAUUUCUCUACAAUUAGAUCUCAAACCUAUGUGUUUUUUUUAUAGUUUUUAGUUGAAAUAGAUCAAGGGGAAGAACGACUUGUUCGAUGAUAAUGCCGUUUAAGCGCGUAUUCCAGCAGCUUAAAGAAAUGCGAGAUGGUUCUAAAAAUAAUUCACGGAGGCGAGCCAAUAGGAAGUGUGUGAACGGUCUUGGAAGAUCGCAUAUAGCCCCCGAAAGUUCUCCUUCUC
rnacentral:lncRNA from 1 species